AUUUAAUAAAAUUGCUUUAAUUUUUAAGGUGGAGAAUUAAUUUGAAUUGAAUAAAUUUUAGUCAUUGUAUGGUUUAUAAAUAGGAUAAUUUAAGCUAUAGUUUAUUAGUAUUGUGAGAGAAAUUUUAAAUUGUUUUUAUAAAUUAUUAAAGUAAAUUUGAUUUAUUGUAUCUUGUGUAUCAGAGUAUAUUAAAUUGAAUUAUAAAUUUUGUUUAUCUCGAAUUUAAAAGAUUUAAUUAAGUGAUUAAGUUAUUGUGUCAAAAAUAUUAAUAAUGCUUAGUUGGUAAUGAGACGUUAUUCGUUUUUAAGGAUAUCUAGUUUUUUAAUAAAUGAAUUUAAUUCAGAAAAUAGUAAUUAUUUUAUAAGUGUUUAUAAAUAUAUUUAUUGUUUUUAAUUUCUAAAGGGAAAAUCUUUUAGAAAAAUUUUUAUAAUAAUUUUGUAAUUGAGGAGUUUAUGAAUUUAGAAUUUGUUAAUGAUUUAAGGAUGUUAAAAUUUAUUUCUUAUUUUUAAAGAUUUUGUUAUUAUUUAAAAUUUUUAUUAAAAUGUUAAAAAGAAUUUUUUAUUUUUAGUAAAUAUGAUUUAAUUAGUAAAUUUUAAUGUAAAUAUUAUUAAUGAGAAAUGUUAAUAUGAAGAACUCGGCAAAUAUUUUACUCGCCUGUUUAAUAAAAACAUGGUUUCUUGAUUAUUUAGGAGAUCUGACCUGCCCGCUGAAAAAUUUUUGAAGGGCCGCGGUAUUUUGACCGUGCAAAGGUAGCGUAAUCAUUAGUCUUUUAAUUGAGGGCUAGCAUGAAUGGUUGGACGAGGAAAAAGCUGUUUUAUAUUAAUUGUUAUUGAAUUUAGAUUUUAAGUAAAAAUACUUAAAUUUUAUUAAGGGACGAGAAGACCCUAUAGAGUUUAAUAUAUGAAGUUUUAAUUGUGUUAAAAGCGUAACUUUGUGGUUAAUUAUGUAGUAUAUUUAAUUGGGGUGAUUAGAAGAUAAGUAAAACUCUUUUUUGAAAUAAAUAUUUUGUAUAAUUGGAAGAUCCAUUAUUUAAUGAUUGAAAGAUUAAAUUACCUUAGGGAUAACAGCAUGAUUUCUUUUGAGAGUUCAUAUCGAAAAAGGAGAUUGUGACCUCGAUGUUGGAUUAAGAUAAGUUUUGGGUGUAGAUGUUUAAAUGUUAGGUCUGUUCGACCUUUAAAUUCUUACAUGAUCUGAGUUUAAACCGGCGUGAGCCAGGUUGGUUUCUAUCUUUAAUAUGCUUUAAUACUUUAGUACGAGAGGACCAGGUAUUAGAAAUAAUUUUAUAGUGUUGUGAAUACUAUUAAUUGA
rnacentral:rRNA from 1 species